rnacentral:tRNA from 1 species
CGAGCGGUUAAGGAGAUUGAUUAGAAAUCAAUUGGGCUUUGCCCGCGCAGGUUCGAAUCCUGCUGGUUGCG